rnacentral:rRNA from 1 species
GACGAACGCUGGCGGCGUGCUUAACACAUGCAAGCCGAACGAAGAGCGAUGGAAGCUUGCUUCUAUCAAUCUUAGUGGCGAACGGGUGAGUAACGCGUAAUCAACCUGCCCUUCAGAGGGUGACAACAGUUGGAAACGACUGCUAAUACCGCAUACGAUCUAACCUCGGCAUCGAGGAUAGACGAAAGGUGGCCUCUAUUUAUAAGCUAUCACUGAAGGAGGGGAUUGCGUCUGAUUAGCUAGUUGGAGGGGUAACGGCCCACCAAGGCGAUGAUCAGUAGCCGGUCUGAGAGGAUGAACGGCCACAUUGGACUGAGACACGGCCCAGACUCCUACGGGAGGCAGCAGUGGGGAAUCUUCCGCAAUGGACGAAAGUCUGACGGAGCAACGCCGCGUGAGUGAUGACGGCCUUCGGGUUGUAAAGCUCUGUUAAUCGGGACGAAAGGCCUUCUUGCGAAUAGUUAGAAGGAUUGACGGUACCGGAAUAGAAAGCCACGG